GGGCCUGGGGGUAUGAUCAGUACGGCGAGUGAAGCGGCAAGAGCUCAAAUUUGAAAGCUGGCUCCUUCGGGGUCCGCAUUGUAAUUUGCAGAGGAUGCUUCGGGUGCAGCCCCCGUCUAAGUGCCCUGGAACGGGCCGUCAUAGAGGGUGAGAAUCCCGUAUGGGGCGGGGUGUCUGCGUCCGUGUGAAGCUCCUUCGACGAGUCGAGUUGUUUGGGAAUGCAGCUCUAAAUGGGUGGUAAAUUUCAUCUAAAGCUAAAUACUGGCCGGAGACCGAUAGCGCACAAGUAGAGUGAUCGAAAGAUGAAAAGCACUUUGAAAAGAGAGUUAAACAGCACGUGAAAUUGUUGAAAGGGAAGCGCUUGCAACCAGACUCGCUCGCGGGGUUCAGCCGGGCUUCGGCCCGGUGUACUUCCCCGCGGGCGGGCCAGCGUCGGUUUGGGCGGCCGGUCAAAGGCCUCCGGAAUGUAGCGCCCUUCGGGGCGCCUUAUAGCCGGGGGUGCAAUGCGGCCAGCCUGGACCGAGGAACGCGCUUCGGCACGGACGCUGGCAUAAUGGUUGUAAACGACCCGUCUUGAAACACGGGACCAAA
rnacentral:rRNA from 1 species